CGCGUAGGUGGUUUGGUCAGUCAGAUGUGAAAGCCCUGGGCUUAACCUGGGAAUUGCAUUUGAUACUGCCAGACUGGAGUAUGGUAGAGGGAAGUGGAAUUCCGGGUGUAGCGGUGAAAUGCGUAGAUAUCCGGAGGAACAUCAGUGGCGAAGGCGGCUUCCUGGACCAAUACUGACACUGAGGUGCGAAAGCGUGGGUAGCAAACA
rnacentral:rRNA from 1 species